rnacentral:rRNA from 1 species
UACGUAGGGUGCAAGCGUUAAUCGGAAUUACUGGGCGUAAAGCGUGCGCAGGCGGUUCGUUGUGUCCGAUGUGAAAGCCCCGGGCUUAACCUGGGAAUGGCAUGGGAAACUGGCGAGCUGGAGUGUGGCAGAGGGGGGUGGAACUCCUGGUGUAGCAGUGAAAUGCGUAGAGAUCAGGAAGAACACCGAUGGCGAAGGCAGCCCCCUGGGCCAACACUGACGCUCAGGCACGAAAGCGUGGGGAGCAAACAGG